GAGAAAAAAAUAUGCCCAAUAGAGGAAGAUGGAGACAAAUAACAGACAGAGCCAGAUAAAGAAGAAAACGCAGAAAACAGAAGAGCCAAGCAGACAGACGAGGAAGGAAAAGAAGGAACUAGAGAAGUGAGAUCAAUAAUGACAUCAGUAUUUCUGUCUGAGACAGAGGAGGCUGAUUCGUCUCUGUGUGAGCUCCAGUCCCAAGGGUGAGGCAGAAGAAAACACCCACAAAGAGAUUGACUCACCAUACCAACGCAAGCUAAACAAAGUGGGCCCAACCAUCCCCUUUCAAAGUCUUAGCCCUCCCUCAAUACACAGGCGUAGCACUGAGGACCAGCCCAAGAGGGCCACCAGGAAAUCAACCAACCCCAGGGGGAGCCACGGCACCAGAAAGAACCAGAAAGUCCAGACUCGAGCAGACCGGACCAAGCACCCCCAUGGGCAAGACAGUGGUGGUCAACCAUACAGCCCCCAUCAGAACAUAAGGGUCCCCCAGAUUUAAAAAAAAAAAAAAAAAAAGGAUCCUAUUGAGUUGUGCUGGGACCCUUAAGUGAUCAGUCACUGAUCACUUAAGGGUCAAAAAAAAAAAAUCCUGAUCGAGAUCCUGAAGUUGCAAUUCAAAAUAGAAUGUUAAUUUCUAUCCAUAAUAUCAGUGACGAUAAUUUAGAUUGCAACCCAAUCGAUAAUAAUCACAUGCUUAGAAAGGACAAUUAAGAAUAUACAUUGUCAAAUUUGAUGACAGGCAAAAUCAGGAUUCUACAGUUCUAUCUAAUGAGUUAGGAGACCCUAUUUCAAUAAUGUGUGUCAUCCUUUUCUGUCAAGACUGGAGGCCAUGCUCAAGGAGAUUCAAACAACGGUUAAUGCUAAGUGAUUGUUUAUUUUUCCAAUUGAUAAGUAUUAUUUUCUUGGCAAUGGCUAAAGUGGUGAGUGUGGGUUUAGCAUGUUUGGUUGGAAGACUAAUUGAGGUUUUGUCACUGGGUAAGCACAAAUGAGGAGAUAAUGGGAUUCUGCAGACCAAGAUGGAGGAAAGCUUGAGUGAUUUCAAGCCAAAAACAGGGGAACAGUGCCAUAGUGCAUGGAAAUAUGUGUCUGUGGUGUUUUGAGUACACUGAGUGCCAAUAUCAGAAACAGAAAAGCCAAUUUUAUUCAACCUGUGUUGUGUGAUAUAAUUUCUGUACAAGACAAAUAAAUACAUUUACAAAAGUUCAUAGUUAUGAUUAAUAGUAUCUAUUGCUGUAGCUGAUGGACAGAAACACAUUUGAUAACACUAAAAAAAGCCAAGUGGUAUUCAAUAGUUUCAGUAUUUGACAUAUGACAUGGCAUACAAAUACACACAUAUCAGUCAGAUGUAAAAUUUAAGAGAAACAAAUAGUGGAAAUCAUGUUGCUUCAUACAAUAACUACAUUUUUGUAACCGCCGUGGCAGAUAGAGAUAUAUAUGUAUGUAUAUUACCAAAAAAAGGAACUGAGAAUAUGAACAAUGAACUGAGUACUUUUGUAAUUUAAGGAAGUCACGAUUUACAGUAGUCAAUUGUUUUCAGGUUGUAUUAUUAUAAUUUCUUUUAACGCCUCCAAAGCCAGGAGGCAUCUUAUCUUUGUACAUACAUUGUACAAAAAAAAAAAAAAAAAACUUCUGAUUUAUGUAACCAUAAUAUGGGAACAUUUUGUCUCCUGCUCCAGUUCCUUCAUCACAAAUUAAAUGCAGUGUGCCUGGCAAAAAAGAUGAAUAAAUUAACAGCUUUAAAACACAAAAUGCAAGUGACAGGCUACUGCAGGAAUGAAUGCAACAAUGAUAGGCAUGUAAGAGGGAACUUGGGUAGAUUUUUGCUUCCAGGCAUUUAAAUGGGAUUGGGACUCAGAGACAUGGUGUAUUCACUGUGCAAACACCACCUGCUGAAAACUAUUUGGGCACAGCAGUUUCCACUCCAGACUUUGCAAUCUCAACAAAACACAAACCCAAGUAAAAAUAAAUAAGUUUUAUAUGCAUACAUAUACAGACAUGCACACGAAAGUAGCGUUUGCCCAUGGACAAAACAACUACUGGAAUGAUAAACCACACCUGAUGUAGUGCUAAAAAGGUUACUCUUGCACCAUCACUUGUCCAAUUUCACUUUAAUAUUUGCAUAAGUCGAGCACAUGAAUUGUGCUUCAGUGUGAAUUGAAAUAAUAUGGUUAUAUUCAAAACAGUUUUAGCAUUUCAGUGUAAAAUGUAGGUUACAUGAAUAGAAGGAAAUGCCAACUUAUAAAGCAAGAAAUAACAGUUCCUUUCAAGCUACUUUGGGAUUUCAGUGUAUUUGGACUAUUUUUAUCUGACUUGUGUAUGGCUUGAUUGACAUGUGAAUAAAUUUUGGGGAAUAACUGUGAAGAACAGCAGGAACAGAUAUAUUUACGUUGCAAUACAGUACAAUGAGUACUUUUUUUGAACAAAAAAGCACCCCCAAGCAGAUGAUUAGCGUUUUUGUAUUACCCACCCACCCAUCCAUUUUUAACCACCUACCCAAUUCAGGGUGAGGCUGGGGCCCAUCAUAGCUUUCAUAGAAUGAGAGAUGGAGUAAACAGAGCUGUUAUAAUAUGUAUUAUAUC